rnacentral:rRNA from 1 species
UACAGAGGGGGCAAGCGUUGUUCGGAAUUACUGGGCGUAAAGGGCGCGUAGGUGGCCUUCUAAGUUGAACGUGAAAUCCCUGGGCUCAACCCAGGAACUGCGUCCGAUACUGGGAGGCUUGAAUCCGGGAGAGGGAUGUGGAAUUCCAGGUGUAGCGGUGAAAUGCGUAGAUAUCGGGAGGAACACCAGUGGCGAAGGCGACUUCCUGGCCUGUUCUUGACGCUGAGGCGCGAAAGCUAGGGUAGCAAACGGGG